UGGUUACAUACAUGGAGAAUCAGGUUACAAUGGUUACAUGCAUGGGGAAUCAGGUUACAAUGGUUACAUACAUGGAGAAUGAGGGUUACAAUGGUUACAUGCAUGGGAAAUCAGGUUACAAUGGUUACAUGCAUGGGGAAGUCGGUUUACAAUGGUUACAUACAUGGAGAAUCAGGUUACAAUGGUUACAUGCAUGGGGAAGUUGAGUUACAAUGGUUACAUG